GAGUUUGAUCCUGGCUCAGGACGAACGCUGGCGGCGUGCUUAACACAUGCGAGUCGAGCGAUGAAGCUUCCUUCGGGAAGUGGAUUAGCGGCGGACGGGUGAGUAACACGUGGGUAACCUGCCUCAAAGAGGGGGAUAGCCUCCCGAAAGGGAGAUUAAUACCGCAUAGAAGGUAAAAAUCGCAUGAUAAAUACCUUAAAGGAGCAAUCCGCUUUGAGAUGGGCCCGCGUCGCAUUAGCUAGUUGGAGGGAUAAAAGCCCCCCAAGGCGACGAUGCGUAGCCGACCUGAGAGGGUGAACGGCCACAUUGGAACUGAGAUACGGUCCAGACUCCUACGGGAGGCAGCAGUGGGGAAUAUUGCACAAUGGGGGAAACCCUGAUGCAGCAACGCCGCGUGAGUGAAGAAGGUUUUCGGAUCGUAAAGCUCUGUCAUCCGGGACGAUAAUGACGGUACCGGAAGAGGAAGCCACGGCUAACUACGUGCCAGCAGCCGCGGUAAUAC
rnacentral:rRNA from 1 species